GAUGAACGCUGGCGGCGUGCCUAAUACAUGCGAGUCGAACGAGUUCUCGUUGAUGAUCGGUGCUUGCACCGAGAUUCAACAUGGAACGAGUGGCGGACGGGUGAGUAACACGUGGGUAACCUGCCCUUAAGUGGGGGAUAACAUUUGGAAACAGAUGCUAAUACCGCAUAGAUCCAAGAACCGCAUGGUUCUUGGCUGAAAGAUGGCGUAAGCUAUCGCUUUUGGAUGGACCCGCGGCGUAUUAGCUAGUUGGUGAGGUAAUGGCUCACCAAGGCGAUGAUACGUAGCCGAACUGAGAGGUUGAUCGGCCACAUUGGGACUGAGACACGGCCCAAACUCCUACGGGAGGCAGCAGUAGGGAAUCUUCCACAAUGGACGCAAGUCUGAUGGAGCAACGCCGCGUGAGUGAAGAAGGCUUUCGGGUCGUAAAACUCUGUUGUUGGAGAAGAAUGGUCGGCAGAGUAACUGUUGUCGGCGUGACGGUAUCCAACCAGAAAGCCACGGCUAACUACGUGCCAGCAGCCGCGGUAAUACGUAGGUGGCAAGCGUUAUCCGGAUUUAUUGGGCGUAAAGCGAGCGCAGGCGGUUUUUUAAGUCUGAUGUGAAAGCCCUCGGCUUAACCGAGGAAGCGCAUCGGAAACUGGGAAACUUGAGUGCAGAAGAGGACAGUGGAACUCAUGGUGUAGGCGGUGAAAUGCGUAAAAUUUAUGGAAGAACACAAGUGGCGAAGGCGGCUGUCUGGUCUGUAACUGACGCUGAGGCUCGAAAGCAUGGGUAGCGAACAGGAUUAGAUACCCUGGUAGUCCAUGCCGAAACAGAAUGCUUAAGGGGGUGUUGGAGGGUUUCCGCCCUUCAGUGCCGCAGCUAACGCAUUAAGCAUUCCGCCUGGGGAGUACGACCGCAAGGUUGAAACUCAAAGGGAUUGACGGGGGCCCGCACAAGCGGUGGAGCAUGUGGUUUAAUUCGAAGCAACGCGAAGAACCUUACCAGGUCUUGACAUCUUUUGAUCACCUGAGAGAUCAGGUUUCCCCUUCGGGGGCAAAAUGACAGGUGGUGCAUGGUUGUCGUCAGCUCAUGUCGUGAGAUGUUGGGUUAAGUCCCGCAACGAGCGCAACCCUUAUGACUAGUUGCCAGCAUUUAGUUGGGCACUCUAGUAAGACUGCCGGUGACAAACCGGAGGAAGGUGGGGAUGACGUCAAAUCAUCAUGCCCCUUAUGACCUGGGCUACACACGUGCUACAAUGGAUGGUACAACGAGUUGCGAGACCGCGAGGUCAAGCUAAUCUCUUAAAGCCAUUCUCAGUUCGGACUGUAGGCUGCAACUCGCCUACACGAAGUCGGAAUCGCUAGUAAUCGCGGAUCAGCACGCCGCGGUGAAUACGUUCCCGGGCCUUGUACACACCGCCCGUCACACCAUGAGAGUUUGUAACACCCGAAGCCGGUGGCGUAACCCUUUUAGGGAGCGAGCCGUCUAAGGUGGGACAAAUGAUUAGGGUG
rnacentral:rRNA from 1 species